rnacentral:misc_RNA from 3 species
UCACCACUCAAGCCCGGCUUGUUGUUGGCGUCAGCGCGGCCUUAACGGUUGUGCUCCGCCUAAAGAUAAUGACGGCGUCUGUGAGGACUCCUGUACAUUGAGCUUUCGGGCACGUACAUGGUUAGAAGUCCAGGCGCCGGUCACCGUCCCUCGGGACACUUUUUACCAA